rnacentral:rRNA from 1 species
GGGCCCGCACAAGCGGUGGAGCAUGUGGUUUAAUUCGACGCAACGCGAAGAACCUUACCCAGGCUUGAACUGCAGAUGACAUCCUACGAAAGUAGGCUUCCGCAAGGACGUCUGUAGAGGUGCUGCAUGGCUGUCGUCAGCUCGUGUCGUGAGAUGUUGGGUUAAGUCCCGCAACGAGCGCAACCCUUGUCUUCUGUUGCCAUCGGGUUAUGCCGGGCACUCUGAAGAGACUGCCGGUGACAAACCGGAGGAAGGUGGGGAUGACGUCAAGUCAGCAUGGCCUUUAUGUCUGGGGCCACACACGUGCUACAAUGGCAGAUACAAACCGUCGCAAAACCGUAAGGUCGAGCUAAUCGGAGAAAGUCUGUCUCAGUUCGGAUUGUCGGCUGCAACUCGCCGGCAUGAAGUUGGAAUCGCUAGUAAUCGCGGAUCAGCACGCCGCGGUGAAUACGUUCCCGGGCCUU